rnacentral:lncRNA from 1 species
GACACAAAUGAUCAGGAGAGAGAUUUUGCAAGAUACUGACAGCAGAACAAGUGUAGGAAUCCCACCACGUGAGCAUGUUGGUAACUGUUCGUCACAGUCAGAGGACAGAAUGACUCAGAAGAUAAUGGAGCUUUGAAGUCUAGCAGAAUAUGAAGUCUUUCCUCUUCUGGUUUAAAUUUAAAAGUACUACCCUCCCAGGUACCCCCCACCAAGGCUCUGAUGCAAACGAAAAUCAGAUAAUAAGUGACUCAGCUUGAAAGGUCAAGCUCCUCACCAGAAAUGUCAAAAAGGACUCCGUUACCUUUGCUGUUUUCACAAUGAACAGAGUCAGCUUCCACAGGGCACCAGGGUGGUGGCACAUUAGUUCUUAAAUAAAGAAAAAAAGGAGUUGGUGUCAGAAGCGGUCUUUUUCUGACUCAUUUGCUCUCC